UACUGCAACUGGUGAUGAUGAUGAUGAUGGUGUUGAUGUUGACAUCAUCAUCAUCAAUGUCAUCAUCAUCGCCAUCGUCAUCAUCAUCGCCAUCG
rnacentral:pre_miRNA from 1 species